rnacentral:rRNA from 1 species
CACGUAGGGCGCAAGCGUUGUCCGGAAUUAUUGGGCGUAAAGAGCUCGUAGGCGGUCUGUUGCGUCCGCUGUGAAAACCCGGGGCUUAACCCCUGGCUUGCAGUGGAUACGGACAGACUAGAGGUAGGUAGGGGAGAAUGGAAUUCCCGGUGUAGCGGUGAAAUGCGCAGAUAUCGGGAGGAACACCGGUGGCGAAGGCGGUUCUCUGGGCCUUACCUGACGCUGAGGAGCGAAAGCCAGGGGAGCAAACGGG